UCCUACGGGAGGCAGCAGUAGGGAAUAUUGGACAAUGGGUGAGAGCCUGAUCCAGCCAUGCCGCGUGCAGGAAGAAGGCCUUCUGGGUUGUAAACUGCUUUUGCCGGGGGAUAAAAGAUCCCUGCGGGGAGAAUUGAAGGUACCCGGUGAAUAAGCCACGGCUAACUACGUGCCAGCAGCCGCGGUAAUACGUAGGUGGCAAGCGUUGUCCGGAUUUAUUGGGUUUAAAGGGUGCGUAGGCGGUUCUUUAAGUCAGUGGUGAAAUACAGCCGCUUAACGGUUGAGGUGCCAUUGAUACUGAAGAACUUGAGUACAGUCGAGGUAGGCGGAAUUGACGGUGUAGCGGUGAAAUGCUUAGAUAUCGUCAAGAACACCGAUAGCGAAGGCAGCUUACUAGGCUGUAACUGACGCUGAGGCACGAAGGUGCGGGGAUCAAACAGGAUUAGAUACCCUGGUAGUCCGCACAGUAAACGAUGGUCACUCGGUGUUGGCGAUACACAGCCAGCGCCUUAGCGAAAGCGUUAAGUGACCCACCUGGGGAGUACGCCCGCAAGGGUGAAACUCAAAGGAAUUGACGGGG
rnacentral:rRNA from 1 species